CCAGCACCCGCGGUAAUUCCAGCUCCAAUAGCAUAUAUUAAAGUUGUUGCAGUUAAAAAGCUCGUAGUUGGAUUUCUGGCAUGAUGCGCCUGGCCCGCCUCUAUUAGGAGUGUGUGUGCUAGUGCGCGUCUGCCAUCCAUUUGCAGAGUGUGUCUACCCUUGAUUGGGCCGGAUACGCGAUGUAAAUCUUUUACUUUGAAAAAAUUAGAGUGUUUAAAGCAGGCAUUUGCUAUGAAUACAUUAGCAUGGAAUAAUAAUCUAGGACUUCGGUUCUAUUUUGUUGGUUUCUAGAUCUGGAGUAAUGAUUGAUAGGGAUAGUUGGGGGUGCUAGUAUUAAGGGGCCAGAGGUGAAAUUCUUGGAUUCUCUUAAGACUAACUUAUGCGAAAGCAUUCACCAAGGAUGUCUUCUUUAAUCAAGAACGAAAGU
rnacentral:rRNA from 1 species